UACUUAUAAUUUGCAGGUGAUAUUUUCAUGU
rnacentral:piRNA from 1 species